AUGGCGGCGCUGAUCCAUCUUCUGGUGCUGGAUGCGGCAACCAUGGCGAAGGAGAAGAAAUCAAUGUACACUACCACCAUCGGCAGGUUGCAGGUAAACCACCGGCCGUUAUGGUGGCCUCCAGGUUGGCCACGAAGAAGUCCUGGAGCAGCGGCGUGUCCAAGAGGAUGCAGAUCGCCAGCCCGCUGCCCGCCGCUCCUCCCCUGCCUUCUCCUUCUCUUCCUUUCCUUCUCCUUCCUUCUUUCCUUUCUCCAUGUUUUCUCACCUCCAGCUCCCUCUCUGUCUCUAUGCAGCGCCGCCUCUAUGGAGACGCCGGAUCCACGCCGGUCGUCCUCGCCUCCCGUUUCUCCUGCCGCUUGCUCCACAUCGUGCUGCGCCAUGGGUGCCAUCCAGAUCGAGCACGGGCACGAGAGGCGCCGCGCUCCCCUCCCUGCACGGCUGCUUUGCCGUCGUCGUCUCGCCCAUCGCCGACCAGCAGAGUGGUCCACUUCCGGCGCCGUAAUCCCGGCCGUCACCUGCGCCUCCCUCCGUCGCCGAUCCGCGGCCCAUUUCCGCCUCUGCCGUGCGUCCGCAGGACACGUUGCCCAGAUGGAGAACAAUUAUCCACCUGGAUAUCCAUUGUAUAAAGAUCUAACAAACACAACGACAGAGGGGAAUGGAGCUCCCCAUCUCCAACAAAAAAAGGCCACUGGUCAGGUGUGGUAUGCCCAAAUGUCAGACGAGAAGAAAGCAGAAUUUCUCCAGAAGCAUCGUUUAGCCCGCCAGGAAAAGAAGGUUGCAGCUCUGGAAAGUGUUGGCACGGACCAGGUAGCACACGCGCCUGCUUCUUCGUCAAGGUCUGUGCAAUGUACUCAUCCGAGUGACAAAACCUACAGACGUAUAAAUGCCUGUGUAACUACAACUCCAUGA
rnacentral:rRNA from 1 species